GUGAACUCGGAGCACGAGAAGCAGUGAGACCAAUCACAUUUAUGUCUCAGAAGGAUGAAGUGAUGUUUCUAUAGUAACAAAGACAAAAUCAUCUUGAAUGUCUUGACAGGUGUGUGAUAGUUCAGUUCCUCAGUAUGUACGCAAAGGGAAAAGGUUCAGCGGUUCCUUCCGAUAGCCAAGCCCGGGAAAAGUUAGCCCUUUAUGUUUAUGAAUAUUUACUACACGUAGGAGCUCAGAAAGCAGCACAGACAUUUCUGUCAGAAAUAAGAUGGGAGAAAAAUAUAACACUAGGAGAACCACCAGGAUUUCUACAUUCAUGGUGGUG